rnacentral:lncRNA from 1 species
AGUUGGGGACGAAGUCUGGCUCCCGUAGGAGUCCGGAUGAAGUUUGUCUGCAGUCGGGGUUGGAGAUAGAGUCUGGCUCCUGUGGAGUUCGGAUGAAGUUUACCUGCAGUUGAAAUUGGAGACGGAGUCCGGCUCCUGUAGGAGUCCGGAUGAAGUUUACCUGUAGUUGAAGUUAGAGGCGAAAUCUGGCUCUUGUAGGAGUCCGGACGGAGCUUACCAACGUUCGAAGUUGAGGACGAAGUCUGGCUCCC